UACAGAGGGUGCGAGCGUUAAUCGGAAUUACUGGGCGUAAAGCGCACGUAGGCGGCUUGGUAUGUCGGGUGUGAAAUCCCCGGGCUCAACCUGGGAACUGCAUCCGAAACUGCCUUGCUCGAGUAUGGGAGAGGGAAGUGGAAUUUCCGGUGUAGCGGUGAAAUGCGUAGAUAUCGGAAGGAACACCAGUGGCGAAGGCGGCUCACUGGUCCGGUACUGACGCUGAGGUGCGAAAGCGUGGGGAGCAA
rnacentral:rRNA from 1 species